CUAAAUCAGACUUGAAUAGCGACUCAAAUGAUUCGGAAGUAAAUUGAAUCUCACUGGAGAAAUCAGUAGAAAAUUAGUAGAAAAUCUAAUCAACUUGUAUUAGUGUGUAUGGGAUUAGUCGUCGGCGAUUGUAAGUCUACGCCAUGUUUAAAUGAUCGACGGUGUGCUAGAAGUAGAACGCAUUGCAAUGCACUCGAAUGUGCUACACGCUCGAGUGGUAAGCGUAUUAUACAUGCGAAUGCGCGGCCAUGCCUUCGCCGCAGGCGUUUGCGUUGUCUUACUUCUCCGGCGCUGGCUUCUCCGGUUCAUGGCGUCCGCUGGCGUUUUGUUCGAACGUUAGCGGGCACCACACCCAACUGCAUUUCACCAGACCUCUAAUUUGACUAUUUCGAGCCUGAGCACCGAUUUCACCAUCACACAAUUUCGAUUCCGAGAGAGCAAAGGUUUGGACAUUGCAUGUUUGGAGCGUAUUUAAACAGGAACACGCACAUAAAUAAUACGACACUUGAAGUUAGACGCAGAUCAAUAGAGAUGUAAAGAUGUAGAAGGAGGACAGAAUGUUGUCUUCGAAGAUUGCCAGAAGGUGUUUCCUUUCUCGCUUUGCAGUGAUCUUCUCUGUUUUGCUCUGGAAUCUGAUCUUCAAGAAGCCUCCUCUGCGUCGCUUGCCUUGGUUGCUGCGACGACCAUCAGCCAUCACGAUCACGCCCAGGUGAUGAUCGAAUGCUGUAGCAUAACUUCGAAGAUUGAAGAUUGAGCAAUUCCAAAAAAGAAGCCAAAGAGGUGAAGCGGUAAAAAGAUAGUUUAAUUUAGAGCGCUCGCUUCGAAAAUUUUAGCGAUGUCGAAACGCGGCCAGCUUAUAAUUACAAUAAUUAUAAAAGUUGGAGCUCUAGCAGAAGCCACGCCAGAGAAUCCAGAAGUGAGGUAGCAAGUAAGCCGAGAUUAGAUGUAAUUAACUUUUCUGCGCGUUUUUGUUUUUGCCUAAAACUUCCUCUAAUUGCGCCGGCAGGUAAGGAAACGUCAUAAUUUUAGUAAAUAAUCCCUUCGAAUUAAUAUUUUAGCAGCGAGUCAGCUCCGAAGCGAGAUUCUCUGCCUUGAAUUAGCUUCUAAGUGAUUAAAACUUAAAGAUGCAAA